rnacentral:rRNA from 1 species
AUUGAACGCUGGCGGAAUGCUUUACACAUGCAAGUCGAACGGUAGAGGGGGCAACCCCUCGAGAGUGGCGAACGGGUGAGUAAUAUAUCGGAACGUGCCCAGUCGUGGGGGAUAACGUAGCGAAAGUUACGCUAAUACCGCAUACGAUCUAAGGAUGAAAGCGGGGGAUCGCAAGACCUCGCGCGAUUUGAGCGGCCGAUAUCAGAUUAGGUAGUUGGUGGGGUAAAGGCUCACCAAGCCAACGAUCUGUAGCUGGUCUGAGAGGACGACCAGCCACACUGGAACUGGGACACGGUCCAGACUCCUACGGGAGGCAGAAGUGGGGAAUUUUGGACAAUGGACGCAAGUCUGAUCCAGCCAUUCCGCGUGCAGGAUGAAGGCCCUCGGGUUGUAAACUGCUUUUGUACGGAACGAAAAGGUCUCUCUUAAUACGGGGGGCUCAUGACGGUACCGUAAGAAUAAGCACCGGCUAACUACGUGCCAGCCGCCGCGGUAA